GACGAACUCUGGCGGCGUGCUUAACACAUGCAAGUCGAACGGAAAGGCCCUGCUUUUGUGGGGUGCUCGAGUGGCGAACGGGUGAGUAACACGUGAGUAACCUGCCCUUGACUUUGGGAUAACUUCAGGAAACUGGGGCUAAUACCGGAUAGGAGCUCUUGCUGCAUGGUGGGGGUUGGAAAGUUUCGGCGGUUGGGGAUGGACUCGCGGCUUAUCAGCUUGUUGGUGGGGUAGUGGCUUACCAAGGCUUUGACGGGUAGCCGGCCUGAGAGGGUGACCGGCCACAUUGGGACUGAGAUACGGCCCAGACUCCUACGGGAGGCAGCAGUGGGGAAUAUUGCACAAUGGGCGGAAGCCUGAUGCAGCAACGCCGCGUGCGGGAUGACGGCCUUCGGGUUGUAAACCGCUUUCGCCUGUGACGAAGCGUGAGUGACGGUAAUGGGUAAAGAAGCACCGGCUAACUACGUGCCAGCAGCCGCGGUGAUACGUAGGGUGCGAGCGUUGUCCGGAUUUAUUGGGCGUAAAGGGCUCGUAGGUGGUUGAUCGCGUCGGAAGUGUAAUCUUGGGGCUUAACCCUGAGCGUGCUUUCGAUACGGGUUGACUUGAGGAAAGGUAGGGGAGAAUGGAAUUCCUGGUGGAGCGGUGGAAUGCGCAGAUAUCAGGAGGAACACCAGUGGCGAAGGCGGUUCUCUGGGCCUUUCCUGACGCUGAGGAGCGAAAGCGUGGGGAGCGAACAGGCUUAGAUACCUUGGUAGUCCACGCUGUAAACGGUGGGUACUAGGUGUGGGGUCCAUUCCACGGGUUCCGUGCCGUAGCUAACGCUUUAAGUACCCCGCCUGGGGAGUACGGCCGCAAGGCUAAAACUCAAAGGAAUUGACGGGGCCCCGCACAAGCGGCGGAGCAUGCGGAUUAAUUCGAUGCAACGCGUAGAACCUUACCUGGGUUUGACAUGGAUCGGGAGUGCUCAGAGAUGGGUGUGCCUCUUUUGGGGUCGGUUCACAGGUGGUGCAUGCCUGUCGUCAGCUCGUGUCGUGAGAUGUUGGGUUAAGUCCCGCAACGAGCGCAACCCUUGUUCACUGUUGCCAGCACGUUAUGGUGGGGACUCAGUGGAGACCGCCGGGGUCAACUCGGAGGAAGGUGGGGAUGACGUCAAGUCCUCAUGCCCCUUAUGUCCAGGGCUUCACGCAUGCUACAAUGGCUGGUACAGAGAGUGGCGAGCCUGUGAGGGUGAGCGAAUCUCGGAAAGCCGGUCUCAGUUCGGAUUGGGGUCUGCAACUCGACCUCAUGAAGUCGGAGUCGCUAGUAAUCGCAGAUCAGCAACGCUGCGGUGAAUACGUUCCCGGG
rnacentral:rRNA from 1 species